rnacentral:lncRNA from 1 species
ACCCCAGUUGAGAUGGCCCUCGGGGUCCUGUGCUUACUGCCCCCUGAGGCCCCAGGUCUCUCUCUCUCUCCCAAGCACCACCAGAGCUCCUGUGCCUCCGGAUCACUGUCCCUGCCCAAGAACAAGGCUGCCGCAUAGGGGCCUAGGCCCAGAACCAGCUCCUGCUGUUGGGAGCCAAGCCACACCUGGCUCCGCCUGACCAGCCCUGAGCUCUUGCGUACUGGCGGAUCCCACCCGUUGCCCUGUGACCCACCGCACCAGUGGCCCCUCGCACCCCCUGGUGCUGUCGGACCAGACCCGGAUGCUCUCUGGCUUGGACUUCAGUGGCAGAACCAGCAGGGGAUUGUCUCCAAAACUGAAUCGGCGACUUGAAAUUGCUCUUGAGAAACAAGAAGGCUGGGAAGGAGACUGGUCUCUUCCUAGUCUGCAAGACACCUCAUCUCCACCGAGCCCUGCCCCGUUCCCCUGGCUCCUCUUCUUAAUUCCUCACACACUUCCUCGCAACCCGCUUACUGCGAGCUAGGAGCCAGCACAGCUGGUAGGACUUUCCCCAGGGAGCCUGACCCAGGUUGCCAUGAUUUCGUGGCGGUUUCCUGAUUCCGACCAGAGUGGAGCCAGAGGACCCUCCCGUGUAGAGCCCCAGCACCUCGGCUGGAGGCAUGCGGAUGGGCGGGGAUGGAGCAGGAGCUUCUAGUUUCUGCCCUCAGGGGACAGCCAGGGCCGCUGGAUUGUCCUGGCUGCGGGGGACCUUUGGUUGUCUGGGAGAGCCGCAGCUGGGCCUGGGCCAGGUUAGGAGCUGCUAGUCCCGGGAUCUGACCCACGAGGGAGGGUGCUGGAAGUGCAUUGAGGACACCUCUGCUGCUGGGAAUCUCUGAGCUAGCUGCAGAGGAGCUCCCCUGUAGGUCCCAGCUGAGCAUGGCCGGGCCAUGGGGGUCAGAGGGUCUGGCAGCAUAGAGUAACAUUGUCCUGGCUUCCCCACAGCCCCAUGAAGUGUCCGUGGUCUUCCUGUCUUCCCUGUGAGGGCGGUAGAGCCCCAGAGACCCUGAGCCCAGGCGGAGGGCCAUAGGACCCAGUGACUGGGAAGCCUCUGAGACGGUCUUUCCGCCCCAGGACUGCGGCUGGGUCUCACCUUCCCUGCUGGAAGCUCCUCACCCCCAGGGUGUGGGGCAAGGGUAGCAGGGAGACAGGAACUCACUGGUGAGGCAGUGUGGCCCUGAAUGCCGAGUGUGGGCCGAGUGUGGGCCGUGUCCAGCGUGGGAG